ensembl:lncRNA
AGGGCUGUCAACAGCUUUGCACUGUUUUAUGGGCUUAUGGCUUAGGGCACUCACUGAUCACAUUUCUGUUUAUCAUCUAGUUAAGUUUCUGGGUGUAUAAGGAAGUAUCAUAAUUAAUUCCUAAUGCCGUUAAGAUCAGAGACAAAAAUCCUUUUGUGUGCUUAUUUGUGGGUUGGGCCCUGCUUACGCUGAUGAAAAUAAACUGAGUGCAGAGGAGCACUUGUUUCUACAUACUCCUGGUUGCUGGGUAUAACUUAAAAAUAUGUGCAUCCUUGAAUGUGAAAUUCAACCAUGCUCAGGUUGCAGUAGGAACUGCAAGUGUCUGAAGCUGGAGGAUAAGAAUUUAUUCACAAAGCUGUGUUGUCCUUUCCUGGCAGCCUUCAUAUUUUCUUCUUAUCUGUGGUACGCUGGCAGUUAGUGAAAAGGAAAGGAACAAAUCAAGACUUGAGCCAUGGACAACCUCUUGAUAUUUUCUAUUCCUCUGAGCCUGGGAAUUUUGCCAAUCCCAUCUCUGGCCCGACUGGAAAGGAAGGAAAAAUAUGAAAGGUCUACAGGCUUCUACAAUUCUGCAAAAUGUUCAGCUAUAUCUGUUUCUGAAGCAGAAGAAUAAAUGGUCCUCUUGAAAACAUAGGAUGUGAUUGUAUACAAGAGUAAUAUGUUAUAAUGAACUGAUGAACCAUCUGGGCACAUGACUUGAAAUUUCAGUGAGAAGAGAGAAAAAAAUGCUUUACUAAGUAUUUCAGGACUGAAGCAGACUUUUCAGAAGCAAGGAUUCAGAUCUGUAUUUCUUUAAAGGACAGCUGAACAUCCAUCAUGAAGACAUUCAUCAGGCAUUCCACCACUUUGUAUCCCUGCUUCAGAUGAAAUUAGCCAGCACUGGCUCCUGGCAUGCAUCUAAUCUGGACAUUACCUGCAGAUUGUUGAGCUGCUCACUGAGUUACCAGGUUCAUCUGCUCCUGCUCUCAGACCCUGGCUUGUGCAACCAGAGAGUAUGUGGGAGUCUGCACAGGCAGGAGCUGUGCUGCAGCAGUUUGAGGUGAGGGAGACUUGAGUGAGAGCAGCAGAUCAGUGCCAGGAUUGUGCCUUAUAUGGCUGCUCGACGCCUGCAGUGCAUCUCUUGGUAUACAGCUUAUGGUAAAAGCCUUCAGGUUCUGUGUUCUUCCACAGCUGUAUAUCAACUGCUGUUUCUUGAGCUUUGCACACUGAGCUGUGCUGAGCGUGGGCCAAAAAGAAGUUGGUUGCUGGGAGUCACAGCUAUUGAACAGCCAGCCCUCAGACAUGCAAAAUGCUGCCAAAAUCCCUCCUGCGUCAGCGACUGCCUGAGGUGGCCAGUGCUAGCCAGGAGGCCUCCUCCAGUGGCUGGCUGCACGUCCCCAUGCAGGUGGCCAGUCUCUGCCAUUCCGGAGCAAGGAGGGCAGAGUGCUCACAAGAUGUGGUUCCCCAUGGAGAUAACAUGUUGCCAAGGUCAGGCUGCAUCUUAUAUCAGGCCCCUUGCAUCAGAUCACUUUGACUGAGAACAUGCUCCUGUUUGCAGGGAGAAAAUGUAAUCUGUAUCUGGACUGUGGUUAACGCUGAGCGCCAGGCUGUGAAUGCUGCCGGUGUACUGUUUGCUUUAAACACCACCUAUUUUUGUCUUCAGGGCUCCUUUUUUAACCUUUCCAGAAAAUGCUGCUGUUGGCCACUAUCCACUACUCUGCUUCUUUGGGGGCUCACCUAUAGUGAAUCACUCUCAGAGAAUGGCCCUGUGUUUAACUGCUGGACGCUGCUUUUCUGCAAGAAAGGAUUUGUAAGCUGCAAGUAUUUGCAGCUCUCCAAACCCACAAAAAUAAUGUUUGUCAGUGCUCUAGAGAUCAAUGUUUAAACCGGUCUAGUGCAAUCAGAAGGAUGUUUUGAUUUAUUAGUAAUGCAUUUUAAAAGCAAACAAAUUAGUUUAUAGAUACUUAUAUAAUUACACUCACACACACACACACAUAUAUAUACAUAUAUGAGAGAGAAUUAGAGAUGUAAAUAUGUUAGGCAACUUUGGUAUAAUUAAGUUAUGUCUUUGAAAAAAUUCGUCAUACAGUUGUGAUUGCAUGAGGUUCUCAUUGAAGAUUACUAUAAGCAGACAUUUUUAUAAAUAAUAUUUGAGGCCUCAAAUAAAACUUCUUUGUUUCCUGCCUCAAGCAUCUGCCAAAAUAUUUUUGAUUCUUGGGAGACUUGAAAAGUGGAAAGUUUUCUCCAGCCCUUUGGUUGUACUGCUACCAGACUGUGCAGUUGGAUUUGUUGCUUCUUGGUUCUCAAUCAUAUCUGAACCAUGUGCUUCCUUCUCAUCCAUUCUUGAGCCCUGCUCGUGCCAUGAACAGUGGGUGUUCGUACAUUUUUGUUACUACUGUAAGUUCUGCUAUAAAUUGUCCCUUGAAAAUAUCAGUGCUGUCUCAACAUUGCUUUUAUUGCACAGUAGAGCCUGAGCUGUUUUUGUUUGCAGCCCCCAAGAUCUUUUGAUGCAGAUAGUGCAGUUUCUAGCCUUUCUGUGCUUGUUAAAACAUAAAUAUAUGUGUGUUAUGGGAACAUCUUAAGGAAAAAAAAGGCUGUUGAGUGAUACAUCCAGAAAUGAAGCCACCUAGGGUUAUGUAAUGAGCAUCAAGGCUUGCGUGCUCGUGGCCAGCUACUUGGACUUUGAAGUUGGGGUAACAAAGCAAUGAAAGUAUGCUCAAAUUAGUUGUUAAAUUGUUAAGCUAAAAGGAGAUUAAUUAAAACAUCAUAAAACACUGUUCUUGAAAAGGAAAUGGAGAAGGCACUGACUUCUUGUUUUUACAGCAGAUUUAGUACAGUGAGUUAGUGAUGAAGAGUUAUGACCACAGCAAAUUCCUGGAGGGAAGAGUCUUUAAACAUAACAACAACAAAACAACAGAAACAAGGGAUUUCCGAGUAUGCAUUUUACAGUAGCCUUCAGAGGUUUAUAGUCACGUCUAAAUCAGAUGCUAGCAAAAACUUGCUAAAUAUAAUAUGCGUGAACAUAUAGGCUUGUCUGGAAAUUCUUCAAGAAAAAUGGAUGCUCUGUGGGGUGAAAUGCAUCAUCACUGUGUCUAUUCACUUUUAAUAUUUUUUUUACUUCUGAGGGAAUAUAACGAUGCUUUAGUAAGUGCUCUUCUAAAACACUGUGUGAUAUUCUCUAGCUAGAGGUGGGAUGGGCUGCUGUAACAAGUAGGAAGCAUCUAAAAUCAAGUUAUAAUCAAAAAUGCUUCUUUUGUGUUUGACUUGCUGCUGUCUUCCAUUCUGCAGAAUGAAAGCAAUUUUAUGCAGUAUCUCCACUUCUAAGUUAUUGCAGGGGAGGCUUAGGUAAAUCGCAGUGUAGGACUUACUCUUUAUUAACAGCAAUUUUAAAAGUACUUUGCCCAGUGUGAUAAAUUAUGUGUCUCUGCAGAGGCACUGUGGAGUAGAGUAGAAACAGUGGUAUAAAGCCACUCCAGCAAUUCUGACUUUCUUUUCUGUUUUAUAACAUUUGUGAUAAUUAAUUGCAGACUGUAUAUAAAAUAAUGUAUAAAAGGAUAAGUGAAAUCUCCAUCUAUCCCAAAGCUGAGCUGUAGUUGUAGUUGCACUGCAGGCGCAACUGAUUAUGCUCAAUGCCAAACUGUUUUGAUUCUGUUUGUUGUACCCCCAGAAGGGUGCAAAGAAACAGAAAAUAGGGUGAAGGCAGCUGUUUCAGGCUAUCUGCACACUGCUUAUAAGAGACAAACUUCUGCUCUGCCAGAAAAAAAUCAGCUGCUGGAAUUAUUUUAAUCUCUUGUGCUGAACUUUUACACUUUAUUUUGAAUUUUCCACUGUUGCUGCCUUGAAUAUGGCAUAUAUUUCACAUUUCUUGUCCCUGUUUGCUCUCUCUGCGUGUCCAGCCAACUUAUGCCUAAUUCCAUGUCUCUCUCAGCAGCUUUCAAAGAGAUGGUGAGAAAUGACUUGAUGCAGUUUAGAGGCUGUAAAAAUUUUUUAUUCACUGAUUCUCAUAGAUUGUUCUGAGAGCUCUGGCCAAUGGGUGAUAUGGAAACACCUAGAAUUUAUAGAUUAUUAUUCUUAGCAGAUUUUUGGAAUAUGAAUAUCCUUUUUAAAAUAAACUCACAGCUAUGCACAUAUGCCAUUAGAGUAGAACAGAGCAAGAUAACCUUGCGCUGAGUCUCUGUGUCACCCUGCUCUUACAUGUAAAUUCUCUUGUUAUAAUCAGUUGCUUCUCACAGCCAUCAUGAGGAUUCAUUUUUUGAUGGCAUUCACCAAUAAGUAUUAUUUAUGUGUGAUACCCCAAGAAAAAGUAAUCUCAUCCUUUCUGAAUCUCUUUGCUUUCCUCUGGUGUGAGUUUAGCAAUUGCAAGUGACAUUCGAAGUUUAUAGAACAGUUCUUGGUUUUACAGGAACAAAACGUCAUGGAAACACCACCUCUCGACUCCAUCCCCGGUAGCAAUAGUAAAUAUUUGAUCAGUGUGUACUUUCCAUUCAGCUCAGCAUCUCUGGGCUGACUUUUUGGAGAAGUCUUACAUUUGCAUUAGUAUGAUCACACAGUGACAAAGUGGACCUUCCCAAAGUACUUCAGUGAGCUGCUGUAGAAAGAAAAAUGCGGGGAAGAUAUGGAAAGACUUGAAUAAGAUGAAACCAUGAGGUCUUCUUGUCUCUAUAUAUCUUUAAGGUGGAUAACAAAGUGGGGCAAGUCAUCCUUGCUUUGUCUGAUUUUUCCUCUGGAUUUGUACUGGUCUUCUUAGGAAAGUUACAGAAGUACCAUGUUCUGAAUCUUGCUGUUCUUUAUGAUUUAAAAUCAUUCUGUCUUAGGAGUAAUCAAACCUAUGGCUCGUAAGCAAUUUGUUGCUCCCAUAUUGGCAUCUGAGUAGCAAAGGCACCCCAACGGGCGACUGUGAGUUUUGCAGCUCCUCAGCUGUGAAGUGCAGCACAGCAGGAGCCACUGGGCUUGAUUGACACUGCUCAUUUGCUCUUUAACACAGCUGCCUGCCAAUUUUACCAGGAAACGUCUCUGAAUCUUAACAGCUCUAGUUGCUGUGUGCCUGUGGUAUACUCUGGGAUUUCCUUUGCUAGCUCUUGUUCCUGAAUAAUACAGGUAUGUGCCUUGUGGCCAAAAUCUGUUUGGUUCAUGACCUCUGGUUGGGAAUUCUGGUGCAUCUCGAGGGGCUGUAAGGUUGUAUGCUUGUGCUUUAAAAGCUGUAGAUGGAGGAGAAUGGGAAGGGGGGAAAAAGACUGAAGAGCCUUAAUGCCAAUUCAGCCCUGCUGGGGAAGGCCUUCUGUAGGGAUUCUGCAUAGUCUUCUUGCCAGGGAGCUGAAGGAAACCAAAGUAUAGCUGAGAAUUAAGCUGGUUGCUUUUCACCCCAAAUAUGGACAAAAACUAUACAGGAGAAGCUAUAUAAUGUACUAUUUUCUCAGAGGAAUAGAAAAAGACUUAUUCUUUUAAAUCUGUGCAGAGAAACUGCAUUCCAGAGAAAAAAGCACUGAUAACAAUCCACUAUAAAACCAAGAUUAGAGUCCAGACAAAGAGGACUGGCUUUUGUUCUCUAAAUGAGAAAUUACCCCACACAACCCAUUCAAUAGAGCAUCUGACCAGGUAAUUAGAGUCCAAAUUUCAUUUUUCAAGGUUUUGUCCUGUAUUACUCACUCUUUGUUGUUUAUUGCGCAAAUUCAGGCAUUCAGUGAUAAACUGUUUGCUCUGUGGCCUUGCUGUGGUACAUGGAAAACUUUCCAUGACUGUAUUGCUGAGGAACAGAAAUAGCUAGGCAUGUUCCAGGCAGCUUUUGGAACUCAGUCUGGAUCCUGAUGAAAAGAGGGAUUAUUCAGAGUCUCAUCAAUAUCCCGUACAACUUGUUUGUUUCUCUUGAAAUCUGUUAUGUGGAAGAGUGUGAAGUGCUGGGAAGAGAUUUUAUUUCAUAUCCUCCUGGUAGCUUUUAGAGACAUACGCUGCCAUGCAGUUCAUGAACAAACUUUCUUCCAGGGUUAUGCAGGGGAAUGAAUUUGUUUAUUUUAUUACUACUUAUUAUUAAUUCUUUUACUUCAGUUGCACUGUAUUGGAGGAUAAAGCCAUCAUCUUUAUUUUUUCAAGCAGUAAAAUUAUGACUUUAUAUUAACCCUAUGUUAACAUAUUGGGAAAUGUAGCAUUUAACAAUUUUUCCUUCUGGUGUUUUCUAUAUGCAAAACUCUCUCUCAGUACAUAGUGAGUUCUGGUGCUGAUAAAUCAGGUACAGAGAGUCAAGAGGAAAAAGCUGGCUAUUUUUUUCUGUUUCAACUUGUCUGUUGAAAUCAGAGCUGAAUUAAUUCCCCCUUUUUCUGCCCAAGAUUUCUUAGGUGACCACUUGUGAGCCUCCUGACUGCUUCAUAUUCCUUUUACUUCUUUGAAGAAGACCUUCAAUUCCCCCAUCUCCAUCUUCUUUUUGUUUCCCCGCAACAUAAACAAUAGGACUAAAAGAAGUGGCUACAGCAUGUGGAUAUUGAGGUGUAUCAGAUUUACCUGAGACUGUAUCAGGUUACUCCUUGUUCUCCAGGCACCUACAGUUGGCACUAAAAAACUGGUCUUGUGACUCUUAUCUUCAAGAAAUAGUGCUUUGUGGUUUAUAUGCCAAGUGUUAGAGAGUUCAUUGCUUAACUUUUAUUUCUCCUGAUCAUAACAAAAUUUCUCAGAUAGUAUUUUGCAGCUUAACAGUGUUUAAUAAUCUUUCUGGUUAAGCAGAUUAAUCCUAGUUGGAUUUACUAAUCUGGGGAGGAAAAUCUGCCAAAGAUGCAUAGCAGAGUAUUUCCUAACUUCUUUUGUGUGAAGACUGUGAUUAUUUCUUUUCUCCUCCACAGACACAUCUUGAGUGAGCUCUGAGAAAAUACUAAUCUCUUAAAUGAACUGUAGUUAGCUGAAGGGAUUGAGGGAAACCAAAUCAUUCUGUGGUUGACAAGGGGACAUGGGAUUUUGUAUGGAUGUAAAUCUGCUGCUGGAUUUGGGCUUCCACAUUAACUGGAUGCUAGUUCUACUAAUAGAGUCAUUGUCCCUAUUAGCAGUUUCAAUUAGUGGUUUCGUUGUAGAAGACAAUAUUUAGACAACUGAUGCUAGACAGACUAAACUUCCUUUUCCACUGAAGUACUUGUAGGAAGUGGUACUUCUGAAGUGUGUGCCCUUUUGUUCAAGUUUAUCCAUCUUCUGGAAGACCUGGAGGCUUGAGGCCCUAGGUCUAUCCAAACCACUUCAGCAUCGUUCUUCUACCACUAUUCUUGUCAGUAAACUAGUAGAGCUGCAAGGAUGUUGAAAUCCAUUGGUCAAACAGCAAAAGCUUGAAUGUAAGAUUUCUUGAUAAAGGUUCUCUUCCACGCACCUGUUUGCGUGGUAUUGUUGUUUGCCUUAAUGAUAAAAUCUUUUAAACACAGUAUAUAUUUUAGAAGAUCCUCUCCUCAUGUAUCCUGGAUCUCUUGCUUGAUCUUAAGUUCAUAAAUCGUGCUCUGCCACAAGCUGUUACCACCUGUGUCACAUCUCCUUCCUGAUCCAUGCUUUCCUGUCAUCAAAAUUGUAACAUUUUGGUAUUUCAUGUACUUCCAUAGCUUGUAAAGAAUCCAUGGCAUGGCAGCAUGGCAAAGUAACCCUGCCUCCAGGGUAGACAGUACUGUGCCACAGCUUUUCGUACUUUUUCCAUGCACAGCACCAUCGCAGCUAGAGUUUUCAUGAGAAACCUUAUCUAGAUUAACAUCAAAUCCUAUUCACAACGAACCACAGAAAGCAGAACCCUAAGCUAAAUACACUUAGGAAGAAAAAUACUUCAGCGCUUCACAGCUUUUUGAAUUGGAAACUUGGAGAUCUUGUUAUGAUGGAUUCAAGAUUUCCAGCUGUGACACCGUGACCUGCUGUUUCAUUUCGGUGAUAUCACUUCAUAGGAUAUAAGCAACUUAAAGUUUCCCAGGACAUCAUAAUGCUGUUGAAUAAACAAAUAAACUAGGUCUUACAUUGCAACUCUGGACUCAGAUCGGUUAAAACAGAUCAGUUAAAAUGCUUCUGAAUGUGUACAUCUCCUGGCGUGCUCAGGUUCUGUGAGCCACUCAGUUUGGUAUGGGAAAACAUCAGGACACUUCUGAGGUACCUUCCUCCUAAUUCAUACUAGAAGACUGAAGAAGGCCCCAUGUGAUUGUUCAAAUGUAAUAGUGAAGUUUAAGGCAGAUUUGGGGAAACUGGGGAAAGAUGUGUUGGGGGAUCCUCUGUAAGGAUAAGGAAAAGCUUCCCUGGGCAGGCUCCAGAAGGUCCUCUGCUUUUGGUAACUACCUUCCCUAUGUGGAGCUGCUGCAAAAAGUCCCCUCUCUGAACCUGUUUGUGCCAGAUGAGGAAAAAAUAAAGUAGGGCAGGAAACGUGGUGGAUUUAAGAUUACAAAUAAGCAUUGUGUUUGGCUGUCAUCCUUUUCCAGACGUGUCACGUGUAGUUUUGUGGAGUGGAGAUAUUCCUAUGAAAUUCAAACUAGUUACUCUGUAUUUAGUCGGUGGUGGUGUCAGUGCCCUACACAACCUGCCUCCCUUGUGAGCUUCUGCAGGUGCUUUGCAGGCAUGUGGAAUUAAUAUAAACUGCACAGGUGAAAGGUGAUGAUAGCCAAGGUCAGUUGUGUUCCUGAGUGAGCCUCAUGCAGCUGGGACAGUAUUUAAGACCUGGCACUGGAUUUGAACUAAUGUCUUCCAUCUUCACAACUAGGAAGAGUGUGGCUGUUUAUAAUAUUUCUUAUUCAAGCAGAGGAGCCCUGCCGGGUAAGAAAGGGAACACAGGAUGGAAAAAGCCAGUGGCUUCAGGAUGGGAUGGGAAAGAAUGAGCUGAAAUAAGGUCUUCCUGGUUUGCUUUCUUAAUAAUAAGUUGCAUUUCUGGAGGCAUAGGGAGGGGGGGGCUGUAUGGGGGCUAUAACAGGAGGACAGUCUCAGAUUUCUCACAUGGUGUUUAUUCUGGCUUUUUUUUACUGCACUUGUUUAAAUGUGUCCUAUAAAAUAUUUUCCUUUUGUCCUCUACAUAUUACCAAAGGCAAAGAGCAGUGAAUUUUGAGAAUUCAAAUGAAUGUGAAAGAAUAUCUACCAAUAAUAAUAAUAAAGGCAAUCUGAGUGAAGAAAGGAGAGUUAUGAAGGUAACUUAUUUCCCUGGGACAAACUGAACAAGCAAGUAAGUAGAACAAUUUCAGAAGUUAGAGCCUGCUACUUUCUCUAAAGAAAGAUUUUUUUUCAAGCCCGCUGCAUUGUGAAGAAAUGGAUUUUCAGGGUUAGAAAAUCCUGAGCCAUGUAACUGAGACACCUGAGAAACAUCAUAGUGUGCGUAUUGCACAGACAGUGGAAAAUCACCAGCGUGCUCCUGAGCAGCCCCACACCUCCAGAGCAAGUCCGGGGUUUGCGGCGGGGGGAGCUGGGGGCUGCAAGUUAACCUUGGCUGAAAUUGUAACUGGAUGUUCUGGAGACUCUGCAACAGAAACUGAUUGUAUCUUGUGGAUAGAUAAAAGUGGAUGGACAGAAACAUUUCUCUUCUAGCGAAGUUUUGCCGGGAGAUGUAAUUUACUGCAAAUCAGGGGAGUAACUUUUUCCUCUAAAGAUUAGGCUGUUAUAAGAAAUAUAGAGGUGCUUUUAUAGUAGGAUGACUUUUCAGGGCUGUAACCAUGGAGCAGCACACUCCGAUGCUGAUGCAAUUAACCUCCUCACUGCUGUAAGAAAGCACGUGCACUCUGACAACAAAUUUCGUCUGAAAAUAUUCCCUUUUUCAGGCAUUGCUACUUUGUUUGUCUAUCUCAUUCCUAUGCUGAUAUCCAGCUGGAUGAAGCAAAUGCUGUGCACGAGGAGUUCUUAAGUCCUGCUGUGGACACCAGAAUAUUUUUGUACAUCACCUCUUUACGGCCCUCAGUGGAAAGGAAAAGAGACACCAGGGGAGGUACGAUAAAUAAUGCUCACAUCAGUUUGGAGAGGGUGGUAGACACUGCAGGAUUUACCUCAUUUCUGGCAGCUAGACAUUGUUUUAAGACUCAAAGUAUGUGGGACAGAGAAGGUGAUGUUCUCACACAUUUUCCUUCAGAGAUUUUCAUUAAAUGUCUGUUAAUUUAUUUGUUAAUCCCUUCAAUGAAGUGCUGUAGUAGAAAGGUUUUCUCUUCAAACCCUUUAAAAUGCCUUUUGAUUAUCUCCACUGAAUUCAGAGCCUCAGACAGUGUUUUUGUUGAUCCAAUUUAAAGAUUAGCUCUGUCUUUUAAAUUCAGUAAAAUUAUAGAUGUGAGAUGGAUACAGACCUGUCUAAAUGUGAACAAAACUUGGUGCAUAGGCUGCACUUCUUUUCAGAUGCAUGUGCUGUGAGGUAGUGUGUAUGCGCAGCUAUAUAUCGACCAGCAGGCAGAUAUGCCCUUUUCAGGCUGUCUCUCAGUGAAUGACAGUGCAUUGUUGCUUACCAAGCUCACUUGCCGGAGUUGCUGUGAAAGGGUCACUGAAAGAAAAAAAAAGAAUUACCCAGACAUUGUUUACUGAUUGCCAGCUGAUACAAUACUGUUCAUUGAAUCCCAGGCUAUUAAAGUCCUGAAGAAACAUUGCUAUGAACAAGUUCUGACCUAAAUGUUUUCUCUUUUCAUUUAAGCUUUUAUAAAACCCCAUUCAAAGGACAUUCUAAUGGAAAUAAAGCAUUAAGACUUAAUCUCUAGUGGAAGUUACCCAAGCAAAACAUCUAAUAGAGGCAGACAUUUCAAACUGCUUUCACUGAUGUGCCAAGAUCAGAGGAACUCUUCAGGAUUUCAGUUUUACUUCGCCCUGGGAAUGGCAUUUUUUGGCUAUUUUAAAUGAGCUGUGCUGCACUAAAAAAACAAACAAAAAAAACUAGAAAUGCUCCAAGAAGAGGAAAUCCUUUUUCCUUGCUAAUACUACUUCUGAGCACAUUCACCUGUGUUUUCCUUCCUUCCUUUCUUUCAUAUAGAUUGAGAGACCUUCUGCCUAUCAUCAAAUUUUGCAGCACCUAGCUAUGCAGCAACAAGUACUAUGCUGACAGAGGCACACAGAGUGGAAGACAAUCCCUUUUGACACUCCAUGACCAUUUUGUCAAACCUGGUUGGUAAACCUGAACAACAUGGCCCUGAAAUUGCAGAAGCAUUCUGUUACUGAAGUUGUUUCAUUAUCUCCUGACUCCUGAAGAGUAAUGCAGGAAAGAAAAGGAAACUGAGAUAGCUUACGGUUAAUUUACGUUUUACCAGCAUAUCUGUAGGGUUUCUUGAAUAUACUUUUUUUUUUUUUAAAUAAUACUUCUCUAAAAAUUGAAGACAUAACAGUCUGAAGAGAUAUUUCGUAUUCAAACUUGCACACAGAAUUAGUUCGUGCAUAAAAAUAAAUCUCGUUCUAUUGCCAGAAGUUAAUCCUGGUGCUAUGUGCCCACCAGUCAUUCCAUUCCAAAAAUGAAUUUUGCCUUUCCUUUGAACUCAAGUUCUGGGUAACUGUUUUUUCCUGGUCCUUGAAGCUGACCCUCACAGAACAACAUGCCAUCAUCUUGCGAUGUAUCAUGCUGCAGAGAGCUUGGGAUGGAGUUAAAUGUUUUGUUGGUCAUUGAAUAAACCAAGAUUUUCCCAACAAUUAUUAUUUUUUUUCUCUGAUAAUCACCAGUGACUUUAAAAAAACAAACUGUUCUUGGAUUCAAAAGACCAUCUCUCAGAGGAGUUAACGUAAUGGCUGUGAUGCAGAUGGCCAAGUGUUCUUUCUUAGUUUAGUCCUUGCUUAACUGCUUUCUUCAAAGUUGAAUACGCUUGGAUGUAUUCUUUGGCAUUUGAAUGUUAGGAAAUGGAAAAUUAAAAAUAAUAAUGUAGGAAAUUCCCAUCUGGGAAAUCUGUUGUGUAUUCAAAGCACCUUAAAUCGCAAUCUUGCACUCUGUGGCCUUGACACAUGCUGUACCUAAAGAUCAAGCCUGUAUUUGAGCUUUCCCAAGACAUUUGUUGAGGGGGUGGAAGGCCUCAAAGGGGGUGAAUUGAGCCCUGCCUAACUCCAUUGGACUCAGUAGUUCUGGCAUCUUGUCCUUGUGCAGAUCUUCCUUUCCAAAGGGAUGGGAACGUAGAAUAUUCCUUGACUCUAAUUUCAUGUCUGCUAUCAUGUUUGCCCCUUUAGCACCUGUGCAGAAAAUAAUCACAGCAGUGAGAAAAGGUGCAGAACAGAUGCCUGUUAGAUGGUCAUCAGAAAUGGUCUGUGACUUGUGGAAAGAAAUAAAAGGAAUCUAUGGAAAAAUCAAUAUUGGGAGCAAUGUGAAGACUGGAAGAGAAACUUUCACAGUAGAUGCCGGAAAGUUAUUCAGCUGUCUUCUAGAAAAGGUGAAAAUACAAGCAUUGCUAUCCAAAGUGUAGGUCUCACAGAAAUCUCAGUCAUGAUGUUAGCUGUGUGAGCAGUUUAUGAGCAGCUGAAUGAAAACAAAGCCAACAUUUCCCUUCCUAGGGAACUGUAAGUCUGGGAGAGCAGCAGCCAAGGAAAGCCUGCAGAAAUAUCAUGCAGUCUUGCUUGAAGCUGGGAGGGAGAAAGAAUUCUCAGGGUUCUCCUGGAAGAAGGCUUGGCAGCAAAGGUGGUGCUUCCUCUUAGUGCUCUUAGUGCUUAAGAGUUCUGAAGUCAAUAAAUGCAGAGGUCAGAAGGAGAGGAAGCUAGUGGUAAUAUACAAUAUCUGUACGGGAGUAGAGUGACAUAAAAUCCUUCUCUCUGGCAAAUUGACAGGAAAGAUAUUAGGGACAUCUGUGGGAUAUUCCUCACAUGAGCCAGGUAUCCAGGAAGGAAUUCUGCUUUCAUGGUCUCCUAGAUGAGUAGUACUACAGCCUGUACUAUAACUAAAUGAAUCUCUGGUUGUAC